rnacentral:lncRNA from 1 species
AGUCAGCUUACGCUUCCCAGUUGUUAGGAGCGGCCUGGUUCCCUUUCAAUUGGUAUCGAGACCUAGGUGAUCCUCCUCGCCGAGCUCUUCAUCGUCGCCAUCGUCUUCGUCGUCAUCGCGCCAUCGCGCCAUCGCGCCAUCGCGCCAUCGUCUUCGCCUUCAUCACAUCGUCUUCGCCUUCAUCACAUCGUCUUCGCCUUCAUCACAUCGUCUUCGCCUUCAUCACAUCGUCUUCGCCUUCAUCACUUCGUCUUCGCCUUCAUCACUUCGUCUUCACCCUCAUCACUUCGUCAUCGCCCUCAUCACCAUCAUCUUCAUCGUCAUCGCCAUCGUCGUCCUCCUCAUCGCCAUCGUCUUUGUCUUCGUCGUCAUCAUCGACACCGCUGACAUCGUCAUCGUCGAAAUCAUCGUCUUCUUUCACAACCAUGGCUUCCACCGCCACCAAACUCGGGCGAAUCGUCUAUGGAGCCCUUCCUAUGCUUCCCGAUGUAUCACCGCCCCGCUCACCCGCCCGCUCACUCUCCUGCUCCUCCGUGUCAUCCAUUCCUGAAGACCUUCAUUCCCUCCGACGACAGCACGACGAUUCCCGCAGCUAUCACAGACACGAAGCUACCCACCCGCAACCGAUCCCCAGACCAACGCUAAACCGGCCACUAGGCCGUCGCCGGCAGAUACGGUCAGCCACAGCCUGCCGACGUCGUCUGCUGUGCAUACGAACAACAACGUAGCGUUUAACGUUCUUCGUCUCGCUAAAAUCGUCCGUAAGCCUGCCCGUCGUACCGGCUGCAAGCGUGCUCGUGCAGCUGCAAUGUCGACAACGACGGGAGCAUGCCAGGCGAACAUUGAUUACAUCCCUUUACUCUAGCGUCUACAUCCGCCACCCUGUUUCCCGAUACCACCCUUCACCACGUCUCCACCUCGUCUCAUCCAUCAUUCGCUUCCGCCAACCAUCCAUCGCCACCUUCCACAUCUGUUAAAAACCUCAUCCAACAUAUCUCCACUCCCCAUCUAGCACCCCCACCCCAACCACCGGACCACCCUUCACCACCUCGAUCCCACAUAGUUCAUCUUAUCACCCACUUUUCACAACCUCCACCACCAGUAUCGCAGUCAUUUCGCAUUCGUUUGGCCAACAGACAUCUCCCCCUCUGCACCUCCACCCUCCUCUCUGACCAUCCAUUCUCACCAUGAGCGCACCACCUUCACCCUUGACCUUGACGGAUAUGAUGCCAUCCUUGGGAAACCCUGGCUUACUACCAACAACCCCCAAGUGGACUGGCGCACCAGCAGCGCCACCAGCGGCAACACCGUCAUUCUCCAUUCCCCCUGCCGCCUGCAUCCAGUAUUCCACAUCAGCCGCCUUCUCCCAUGGACCGACAACGAUCCAGCGCUCUUUCCCAGCCGCCCACCACCUCCACCUGCAGCCCCUACUGCACUAGAAUCCCCAUAUGACAGUGCAGAUACCGUUGUUACAGCUGUUCGCCUAGGGUACAACAAGCGCGCACGCCCGUCCGUCAUGUUCCUCGUGCAGUGGUCCACAAGUAGUAAACGCGACCCCUCAUGGGAACCAUACGACGACGUGCACAACCU